GUGUACAUGAAAGUGACAGGCUUCUGGCAGAUCUCCUCCCAAAUCCUUAUGAUUUUAUGUCUCAGGAUUUCUUAGGAAGAGAGAAGCCCUUUUAAGUACUGAACAGGAUUGAUUAUGAGAGGAUUCUGUUAAGUUAGGCACAGGUCAUGGUCUCAGACCCAAAUUCAUAGGCCUGUCAAACACAAAUUCAAAGGGAGAGCCUGCUUGCAGCGGUUGCUCUAAUUUCUAACAAGGCUAGAAGUAAAGCUCUAGGCCAUUUUAGCCCACUGCAUUGUUGAAUCUUAGCCAAUGAGUUUUUCAGACUUGGAUAUAUCUGCUCUGCUUGUCCAGAGGACCGAGGAUGAUAGCAUGCAUGAUAGUUUACAGGAAUCUACAGGAAUCUGCAAACAUUUACGCAAUGCCUGGACGACAGUGGAAAUAGAAUUUCUUCCACUGUCUGAUGCAGUCUGCUCUGAUAGCCCCAAAAUGGGAAUUAUGUUUGCCAAGAGAACCUUUUCAACUGUGUUGACUUUUGAAGAUGGAAAGGAUUCAGGCCUGACACAUUACGUACUCCAUAAAGAUAUAAAAUCUCUUACUUUUCGCAGGCAUUACUUGUAUGAAAUCCAACUGCCGCCAGGUUUGUGGUGAAGUUGGCUGGGAAAACUGCCUGCAUUAAACUCAGGAGUGGUCUUCAAAGAAUUCUGCUGAGAAACCGCACAUCUCUUUAAUGUGUUUUGAAUAAUUUCAUCAUUUAGUAGAUCGCUUCCAUGGAGAUGUGACCCUGCGCAUUCGAGGUGGGUCUUAAUUAGUUCACUGGAGUCCUUAAGAGAGCCGACACAGACCAAGAUGUCUGGAGAAGCUAAGCUAAGAGAUGACACCCAGAGUUUGCCUGGAGAAGCUAAGUCAGCACCCACAGACGCUUAAUGAGAAAGCCAGUGGAAUCAGCAGUGGAAAGCAAUGCAACCUGGGGGCAAGGGACCAGCAGAUGCCAGCCACGUGCCUUCCCAACUGACAGCAUCGGCCUAUCCUCAGUGAAGGGUGAGUGCCCUUUUUAAAUGAUCCCUCGUGUUUCUAAUUCUUCUGCAACCAGUUUUAUCUGCUGUUUGAACUCUCAACAAAGGAUAUUAUUUUAUAUGUGACCAAAGGUUAUUCUUCAGGGAAAUCCACUGACAAGGGAACCACCCGUCUAAAAGAUCACCGCCCGGAGCUGACUUGAAGCAGGGUGGAAUAAAUGAUGCAGGUGGCACAAAGGGACAGGAACAACAAAGAAAGGAGAAGGACGGUCCCGUGAAAGAGAAAUUGUCUCUAAUUCUUGCCUAGCCUCUUCCAUUUUCCUCAGUCUUUUCUUCUUACUAUCCAAAUCACCCUUAACUUUUCUCUUGGAAUGAUAUGCAUCCCAUAAAUACCUAUAUUUCAUUUGCUUGGCGUGAGGCCAUAAACCAGAGAAGCCAUAAAUUCCUAGAUAAGGCAACCCCCCUCCUCUGUAGGUGCAUCUUAAAGCAUAUUCCUAAGCACCAUAGCUGUCUACACUAGAACCAUACCGGAUACAGAUCAGCAACUUCAAAGAGACAUCCCAACCUGGCUCUGUGCCUUCCUUGUUUUUACCCCCCAUAUAACCCCGUCACCAGCCGGGCAGCGCGGUGCGCUACUUUGAAUGUUCUGCUGCGGUACAGGACCAGCUUCCUGUCUGUAAGUUCCUCGAUAAACUAUUCCUGCUA